rnacentral:rRNA from 1 species
UACGGGGGGGGCAAGCGUUGUUCGGAAUUAUUGGGCGUAAAGGGCGCGUAGGCGGCCUUCUAAGUCAGACGUGAAAUCCCUCGGCUCAACCGAGGAACUGCGUCUGAUACUGGAAGGCUUGAAUCCGGGAGAGGGAUGUGGAAUUCCAGGUGUAGCGGUGAAAUGCGUAGAUAUCUGGAGGAACACCGGUGGCGAAGGCGGCAUCCUGGACCGGUAUUGACGCUGAGGCGCGAAAGCUAGGGGAGCAAACGGG